CCUACGGGAGGCAGCAGUGGGGAAUAUUGCACAAUGGGGGAAACCCUGAUGCAGCGACGCCGCGUGAGCGAAGAAGUAUUUCGGUAUGUAAAGCUCUAUCAGCAGGGAAGAAGAAUGACGGUACCUGACUAAGAAGCACCGGCUAAAUACGUGCCAGCAGCCGCGGUAAU
rnacentral:rRNA from 1 species